rnacentral:rRNA from 1 species
GAUGAACGCUGGCGGCGUGCUUAACACAUGCAAGUCGAACGGUGAAGGCGGAGCUUGCUCUGCUGGAUCAGUGGCGAACGGGUGAGUAACACGUGAGGAAUCUGCCCCUGACUCUGGGAUAAGCGCUGGAAACGGCGUCUAAUACUGGAUACGAGCUGCGAAGGCAUCUUCAGCAGCUGGAAAGAACUUCGGUCAGGGAUGAGCUCGCGGCCUAUCAGCUUGUUGGUGAGGUAACGGCUCACCAAGGCGUCGACGGGUAGCCGGCCUGAGAGGGUGACCGGCCACACUGGGACUGAGACACGGCCCAGACUCCUACGGGAGGCAGCAGUGGGGAAUAUUGCACAAUGGGCGAAAGCCUGAUGCAGCAACGCCGCGUGAGGGACGACGGCCUUCGGGUUGUAAACCUCUUUUAGCAGGGAAGAAGCGAAAGUGACGGUACCUGCAGAAAAAGCGCCGGCUAACUACGUG